rnacentral:rRNA from 1 species
GCCAGCAGACAUAUCACCCUGCAAUAACUGGCAACCCACUGAAGCUAAGCAGGUGUGAGCCUGGUCAGUACCUGGAUGGGAGACCUCCUGGGAAAAACUAAGGUUGCUGCUGGAA